rnacentral:tRNA from 1 species
GAUCUUAUAGUUUAAAAAAAAUUUAAAAUUGCAAGUUUUAAGAUGAGAAUCUUCUAAGAUUU